GUCUGCUAUACAGGGUGACCAGGGGAGUUGGGAGUGGGGCUGCGCAGAUCCCUAAAAAGCAAUUAGUAGUACCUCGUAAACAUAGGGCAGAGCUACUUAAGCUCAGCCAUGAUAUACCCUUAGCUGGACAUGACCGGCUCACCCUGACCUUGUAAGCAUGGCCGAGGUAUGGUACCUCGGCCAUAAAGUAGGGUUCGGCCCGAACCAGUUGAAGUGGAAGCGAUUGUGAAUUGGCCCCAGCCCCGGACCAGAACGCAAGUAUUAGCAUUUCUAGGGACUGCGUGUUAUUACCGCAAUUUUGUCCACGGAUACAGCGCCUUGGCCAAACCCCUCACAGACCUGACUAAGAGUCCCUUCCCAGACAGGUAGCAUGGUCUCCGGAGUGUGUGGCAGCUUUCCAGAAACUCAAAGCGGUGCUGAGCGAGGCACCUGUGUUGGCUGCCCCAAACCAUACUAAAAAGUUUCUUGUCCACACAGAUGCCUCCAUGUUUGGACUGGGAGCCGUGUUGAGUCAAGUGGUGGAUGACUGGAUGGAACACCCGGUGGCAUAUCUCAGCCGGAAACUAUUACCCAGAGAGGUCAGCUAUGCCACCGUGAAAAGGAAUGCCUGGCUCUUGUACGGGCACUAAAGAAAUUAUAACCCUACCUCUACGGCCGUCCCUUUACUUUAAUGACAGAUCAUAAACAUCUCAUCUGGUUAAACAGAGUCGCUGGAGACAAUCCCCGUUUGUUAAGCUGGAGCCGUGCCCUGCAACCCUACAAUUUCACCAUGCAGUACAGGCCAGGUAAACAGGACGGCAAUGCAGAUGGUUUAUCCCGGAAAACAGAGUGGGAACCUUGACUGACUUACCCAGACAUCCCCAAGUGAACUCGGCAGGGUCUAGGCGGGUAUGCUGAUCCAUGGAACCAAGAGGGAUCAAUGUGAAGAAAUGACCCUGUUUUGUUCGUUAACUUGGAUUUUUCUUGUUCGCUAGAUAAAACUACCGAACACCGAC